ensembl:lncRNA
GCUAGCCCCAAGGUUCCGCACAGCCUUCACAUUAGGGCUUCCCUGGUCACAUAUUACUGCCUGCACCUUUGAAAUUGGUUAAUACAUUGUUGUCAAUACAAGGUUGGAGUUAAUGUUCAUUUGUUAAUGCUGCUAUUUAAAAAAAUAAAUAAUAAUAAAACGCUUUGCACUACAUACUGUCAGCCCUAUAUGAUGUAGGUGGCGAAUGGCAUCCUUAAUGACGGUAGCAAUAUCAUCUGCUGGCAUUGAAGAUGGGGAAAAGAAGUAACCAACCGUCUGUUGAAAGACAUGCUUUAGGACGAGCGUACACAUCCUCUGCACAGGGGUCAUGGUGGCGGC